UAAUCUCUACAUUGGUACCGUGGAUGGGAAACUGUGGAUCAUCAGUGGUGACCAGUUGCAUUUCAUUACCCAAAUGGGCCAGAAUAUGCCUGAAUGUGAAACUCCAGAUUCUCCAGAUUAAGAACCAAUGUGUGGCCGGCCUCAUGGAGCCCGAAUGGAUCAGGAUGGCAACUUGAUUGUGGUAGAUUCUUAUUUUGGCCUGUACAAAGUCAAUCCAAGGACAGGAGAGAAAACCAUCCUGCUAUCGAGUGAACAAGAUUCAAGUAACAAGUGGGAGAGACAGCAUCACAAAUAUGAGGUGAGAUGA
rnacentral:lncRNA from 1 species